rnacentral:rRNA from 1 species
UUUGAUCCUGGCUCAAAAUCAACGCUGGCGGCGUGCCUCAAACAUGCAAGUCAAACGCGAAAGGUUCCUUCGGGAACCGGGUAGAGUGGCGCACGGGUGAAUAACACGUGGAUAUUUUGCCUUCGGGUGGGGAAUAACAACCGGAAACGGUUGCUAAUACCGCAUAAUGCAGCGGCAUCUAUGAUGACUGUUGUUAAAGCGGGGGAUCGCAACACCUCCCGCCUGAAAAAAACUCCGCGGCAAAUUAUCUAGUUGGUAGGGUAAUGGCCUACCAAGGCAACUAUCUGUACCCAGCCUGAGAGGGCGGUCGGCCACACUGACACUGACAUACGGGUCACACUCCUACGGGAGGCAGCAGUCGGUAUUUUUGGGCAAUGGGCGAAAGCCUGACCCACCAACGCCGCGUGAAGGAUGAAUUUUUUCGGAAUGUAAACUUCACAAGAAUGGGAAGAAUAAGUAAGGGAUAAUACCUCUUACGAUGACGGUAUUAUUUGUAAGCUCCGGCUAACUCCGUGCCAGCAGCCGCGGUAAUACGGGGGGAGCAAGCGUUGUUCUUAUUUACUGGGCGUAGAGGGCGCGUACGCGGCGCGACAAGUCACUUGUGCAAUCUCCGGGCUCAACUCGGAACGGCCAAGUGAUACUGUAGUGCUAGAGUGCGGAAGGGGGCA